AUUGAACGCUAGCGGCAUGCCUUACACAUGCAAGUCGAACGGCAGCGGGGGAGCUUGCUCCCGCCGGCGAGUGGCGAACGGGUGAGUAAUACAUCGGAACGAACCCAGUAGCGGGGGAUAGCCCGGCGAAAGCCGGAUUAAUACCGCAUACGCCCUACGGGGGAAAGGGGGGGAUCGCAAGACCUCUCACUAUUGGAGCGGCCGAUGGCCGAUUAGCUAGUUGGUGGGGUAAAGGCCUACCAAGGCGACGAUCAGUAGCUGGUCUGAGAGGACGACCAGCCACACUGGGACUGAGACACGGCCCAGAGUCCUACGGGAGUCAGCAGUGGGGAAUUUUGGACAAUGGGCGAAAGCCUGAUCCAGCAAUGCCGCGUGUGCGAAGAAGGCCUUUGGGUUGUAAAGCACUUUUGUCAGGGAAGAAAUCGUUUGGGUUAAUACCCCGAGCAGUUGACGGUACCUGAAGAAUAAGCACCGGCUAACUACGUGCCAGCAGCCGCCGUAA
rnacentral:rRNA from 1 species